GAUGAACGCUGGCGGCGUGCCUAAUACAUGCAAGUCGAGCGAACAGACGAGGAGCUUGCUCCUCUGACGUUAGCGGCGGACGGGUGAGUAACACGUGGAUAACCUACCUAUAAGACUGGGAUAACUUCGGGAAACCGGAGCUAAUACCGGAUAAUAUAUUGAACCGCAUGGUUCAAUAGUGAAAGACGGUUUUGCUGUCACUUAUAGAUGGAUCCGCGCCGCAUUAGCUAGUUGGUAAGGUAACGGCUUACCAAGGCAACGAUGCGUAGCCGACCUGAGAGGGUGAUCGGCCACCCUGGAACUGAGACACGGUCCAGACUCCUACGGGAGGCCGCAGUAGGGAAUCUUCCGCAAUGGGCGAGAGCCUGACGGAGCAACGCCGCGUGAGUGAUGAAGGUCUUCGGAUCGUAAAACUCUGUUAUUAGGGAAGAACAAAUGUGUAAGUAACUAUGCACGUAUUGACGGUACCUAAUCAGAAAGCCACGGCUAACUACGUG
rnacentral:rRNA from 1 species